rnacentral:rRNA from 1 species
CUAUACAUGACUCUGCGCAUAUCAAUAAGCGGAGGACAAGAAACUAACAAGGAUUCCCCUAGUAACGGCGAGUGAAGCGGGAAGAGCUCAAAUUUGAAAUCUUAAAGGGUUUCCCUUUACGAAUUGUAGUUUAAAGAAGUGUUUUCUGUUGAGGUUUUGGUAAAAGUUCUUUCGGAAUAGGACAUCAUAGAGGGUGAGAAUCCCGUAUUUGACCUUUACUUUCAACUUUGUGAUACACUUUCAAAGAGUCGGAUUGUUUGGGAAUGCAGUCCAAAAUGGGUGGUAAAUUUCAUCCUAAAGCUAAAUAUUGGCGAGAGACCGAUAGCGAACAAGUACCGUGAGGGAAAGAUGAAAAGAACUUUGAAAAGAGAGUUAAACAGUACGUGAAAUUGUCAAAAGGGAAGCGUUUGACACCAGUGUUGUUUUUCUGAAAAUCAAUUAAAGAACUGUUUAUGCUAAGCUGUUUAGACUUUAUCAGCUAUCUGUUUAGUUUUGAGCUUUUCUUUAAUGCACUUUUCAGUUAACAAGUCAACAUCAAUUUCUUUUGCUGUAAAAAAGCUUGAGGAAGGUGGCUUGAGAUUCGUCUUAAGUGUUUAUAGCCUCUUGCCUAUGCAGUCGGAGAGAUUGAGGUCUGCAGCGUAGAUCCUUCGGGGCUAAAUGCAUUUGUGCUAAGUUAUAGCAUUUUAUAGACAACUUGUUGACUAUGAUUUGUCUUGUAGCUUACUCGCUUAUGUUAUUUUACCUACGCUUAGGAUGUUGAUCUACAGAGCGAGAGU